UGGGGAAUAUUGGGCAAUGGGCGCAAGCCUGACCCAGCAACGCCGCGUGAAGGAAGAAGGCUUUCGGGUUGUAAACUUCUUUUGUCAGGGAAGAGUAGAAGACUGUACCUGGCGAAUAAGCCACGGCUAACUACGUGCCAGCAGCCGCGGUAAUACGUAGGUGGCAAGCGUUGUCCGGAUUUACUGGGUGUAAAGGGCGUGUAGCCGGGAAGGCAAGUCAGAUGUGAAAUCUGGAGGCUCAACCUCCAAACUGCAUUUGAAACUGUUUUUCUUGAGUAUCGGAGAGGCAAUCGGAAUUCCUAGUGUAGCGGUGAAAUGCGUAGAUAUUAGGAGGAACACCAGUGGCGAAGGCGGAUUGCUGGACGACAACUGACGGUGAGGCGCGAAAGCGUGGGGAGCAAACA
rnacentral:rRNA from 1 species